CAUAAUAGCGUUGGGUUGCCGUCUGAAAGGUGGAAGACCUGAGUUUAUGGUUUGUUCAGGUUCGUGCAGGUAACCAAGGUCGUAACCAAACUACGCUAUUUAAACAUAAUAACAGAAAAGAGCGAGCUUCCUGUCAUAGUUUGAGAAAAACAGCCGAGAAGCUAGCCAGUCUCUACAGGCCUCUGGUUGCUACUCCUUUGUGCAACUGUAUCUGCUGAUCGUCCCUGAACCCGUUUGUGACUGUCUGGAUGAGUGAGCGAGAGGAGCGGCUGAAGAGAGGAGUUGGACUUUUUUGGAGAAAGAGAGGAACGUUUUUGACCCUUCCCCCGUUUCCCUACCACCCCAGAGCCCCGGACCCAUU